CCUACGGGCGGCAGCAGUGGGGAAUAUUGGACAAUGGGGGGAACCCUGAUCCAGCCAUGCCGCGUGUGUGAAGAAGGCCCUCGGGUUGUAAAGCACUUUCAGUGAGGAAGAACGCCUGGUGGUUAAUACCCAUCAGGAAAGACAUCACUCACAGAAGAAGCACCGGCUAACUCCGUGCCAGCAGCCGCGGUAAUACGGAGGGUGCGAGCGUUAAUCGGAAUUACUGGGCGUAAAGCGCGCGUAGGUGGCUUGAUAAGCCGGUUGUGAAAGCCCCGGGCUCAACCUGGGAACGGCAUCCGGAACUGUCAAGCUAGAGUGCAGGAGAGGAAGGUAGAAUUCCCGGUGUAGAGGUGAAAUGCGUAGAGAUCGGGAGGAAUACCAGUGGCGAAGGCGGCCUUCUGGACUGACACUGACACUGAGGUGCGAAAGCGUGGGUAGCAAACAGGAUUAGAUACCCCAGUAGUC
rnacentral:rRNA from 1 species